AUUGAACGCUGGCGGCAUGCCUUACACAUGCAAGUCGAACGGUAACAGGUUAAGCUGCCGAGUGGCGACCGGGUGAGUAAUGUAUCGGAACGUGCCCAGUCGUGGGGGAUAACUGCUCGAAAGAGCAGCUAAUACCGCAUACGACCUGAGGGUGAAAGCGGGGGCUCGCAAGACCUCGCGCGAUUGGAGCGGCCGAUAUCAGAUUAGGUAGUUGGUGAGGUAAAGGCUCACCAAGCCGACGAUCUGUAGCUGGUCUGAGAGGACGACCAGCCACACUGGGACUGAGACACGGCCCAGACUCCUACGGGAGGCAGCAGUGGGGAAUUUUGGACAAUGGGCGCAAGCCUGAUCCAGCCAUGCCGCGUGCGGGAAGAAGGCCUUCGGGUUGUAAACCGCUUUUGUCAGGGAAGAAAAGGUUCUGGCUAAUACCUGGGACUCAUGACGGUACCUGAAGAAUAAGCACCGGCUAACUACGUG
rnacentral:rRNA from 1 species